rnacentral:rRNA from 1 species
GAUGAACGCCGGCGGCGUGCCUAACACAUGCAAGUCGAACGAAGUGUAUAUAGGAAGUCUUGGAUGGAAUAUGUAUAACUUAGUGGCGGACGGGUGAGUAGCGCGUAAGUAAUCAACCUGUGACACACGGAUAACUGAUAGAAAUGUCAGCUAAUACGAGAUGAACUGUUUAAAUUGGGAAAUGGAAACAGCAAAGCGAAAGCGGUCACAGACGAGCUUGCGUCUGAUUAGCUAGUUGGUGGGGUAAGAGCCUACCAAGGCGACGAUCAGUAGCCGGCCUGAGAGGGUGAACGGCCACAUUGGAACUGAGACACGGUCCAAACUCCUACGGGAGGCAGCAGUGGGGGAUAUUGCACAAUGGGGGGAACCCUGAUGCAGCAACGCCGCGUGAGUGAAGAAGGCCCUAGGGUCGUAAAGCUUCUGUUCGUGUGGGGAGAAACAAAUGACU